AGAGUUUGAUCCUGGCUCAGGGUGAAUGUUGGCGACGUGCCUAAGGUAUGCAAGUUGAACGGUUUCUUUUGCGUAGCAAUACAAUAAAGAAAUAGUAGCGAACGGCUGAGUAACACGUAGGAACUUACCUUAAAGUCGAGGAUACCCUUACGAAAGUUUGGCUAAUACUGGAUGUGCUUACACUGUAAGGUGUAAGGAAAGAAUUUAUUCACUUUAAGAGAGGCCUGCGUUCUAUCAGGUAGUUGGUGAGGUAAAGGCUCACCAAGCCUAUGACGGAUAGCUGGUCUGAGAGGAUGACCAGCCAGAAUGGGACUGAGACACGGCCCAUACUCCUACGGGAGGCAGCAAUCAGGAAUCUUGCACAAUGGACGAAAGUCUGAUGCAGCGACGUCGCGUGAAGGAAGAAGGCCCUCGGGUCGUAAACUUCUUUUAUUUGGGAACAAAAAAAUGAGGGUACCAAAUGAAUAAGGCCCCCCUAACUACGUGCCAGAAGGGUCGGUGAUGCGUAGGGGCCAAACAUUAUCCAAAUUUACUGGGCGUAAAGAGAUGCGUAGGCGUUUUCUUAAGUUCUUCGUGAAAGGCUAAGGCUCAACCUUAGAACUGCGGGGAAAACUGGGAAAAUCGAGUUAUGUAGAGGUAAGUAGAACAUCUGGUGGAGCGGUGAAAUGCGUUGAUCUCAGAUGGAAUACCAAUGGCGAAAGCAGCUUACUGGACAUAUACUGACGCUAAGGCUCGAAAGCUAGGGUAGCAAAACGGAUUAGAUACCCGUGUAGUCCUAGCCGUAAACGAUCCUCGCUAGAUGUUGGGUUAUAUUGUGUUAUAAGGGCUUUUGUUCUUGUAAUAUAAUAAAUUCAGUGUCGCAGUUAACGCGUUAAGCGAGGCGCCUGGGUAGUACGGCCGCAAGGCUAAAACUCAAAGGAAUUGACGGGGACCCGCACAAGUAGUGGAGCGCUUGGUUUAAUUCGACACUAAACGAAAAACCUUACCAGGGCUUGAACUGUAGCUGCUAAUCUUAUGAAAGUAAGACUCCUUCGAGGGUGCUAUAGAGGUGCUGCAUGGCUGUCGUCAGCUCGUGUCGUGAGAUGUUGGGUUAAGUCCCGCAACGAGCGCAACCCCUUUCCAGUGUUAUAAUUUCUCUGGAUACUGCCUUGCCAAAACAAGGAGGAAGGUGGGGAUGACGUGUAGUCAUCAUAGUCCUUAUGUCCUGGGCUACACAAACGCUACAAUGGUUAUUAUAAAGGGUAGCCAAAUCGCAAGAUGGAGCUAAUCUCAAAAAUAAUCUCAGUUCAGAUUGUCGGCUGAAAUUCGCCGGCAUGAAGUUGGAAUUACUAGUAAUCGCAAAUCAGCAUGUUGCGGUGAAUACGUUCUCGGGUCUUGUACACACCGCCUAUCAAGCCACGGGAGCUGGUCCUACCCAAUGGCUCUACAUAAGUAGGGACUAAGGUGGGGCUGGUGACUGGGGCUAAGUCAUAACAAGGUAGUCGUAGGGGAAUCUGCGGCUG
rnacentral:rRNA from 1 species